AAAUGAAUUGACGGGGGCCCGCACAAGCAGUGGAGUAUGUGGUUUAAUUCGAAGCAACGCGAAGAACCUUACCGGGUCUUGACAUGGGGACGACAGGCGCAGAGAUGUGCCCUUCUUCGGACGUCCCACACAGGUGGUGCAUGGUUGUCGUCAGCUCGUGUCGUGAGAUGUUGGGUUAAGUCCCGCAACGAGCGCAACCCUUAUUAUUAGUUGCUACGAAAGAGCACUCUAAUGAGACUGCCGUUGGCAAAACGGAGGAAGGUGGGGAUGACGUCAAAUCAUCAUGCCCUUUAUGACCCGGGCUACACACGUACUACAAUGGCGUUUAACAAUGGGCUGCGAAGCGGCGACGCUGAGCGAAUCCCCAAAAAGCGCCUCAGUUCGGAUUGCAGGCUGCAACCCGCCUGUAUGAAGCCGGAAUUGCUAGUAAUCGCGAAUCAGCAUGUCGCGGUGAAUACGUUCCCGGGCCUUGUACACACCGCCCGU
rnacentral:rRNA from 1 species